CCUACGGGAGGCUGCAGUAGGGAAUAUUGCUCAAUGGGGGAAACCCUGAAGCAGCAACGCCGCGUGGAGGAUGAAGGUUUUCGGAUCGUAAACUUCUUUCGUCAGAGAAGAAAAUGACGGUAACUAACGAAUAAGCAACGGAUAACACCGUGCCAGCAGCCGCGGUAAUACGGAGGGUGCACGCGUUAGGCGGAAUCACUGGGGGUAAAGAGCGCGUAGGCGGGUUUGCAAGUCAGAUGUGAAAUCCUAGGGCUUAACCAUAGUACUGCAUUUGAUACUGUUAUUCUAGAGUAUGAGAGAGGUAUGUAGAAUUCUUGGUGUAGGGGUAAAAUCCGUAGAGAUCAGGAGGAAUACUCAUAGCGAAGGCGACCUUCUGGAACAAAACUGACGCUGAGGUGCGAAAGCGUGGGUAGCAAACAGGAUUAGAUACCCCAGUAGUC
rnacentral:rRNA from 1 species